rnacentral:misc_RNA from 1 species
UCCGGUUUGACACCGGCAGUCUCCCUAGAGUGCCCGGCAUAACCCGCUGGUAACUAGUGGCGAGGGUUGCGCUCGUUGCGGGACUUAACCCAACAUCUCACAACACGAGCUGACGACAGCCAUGCAGCACCUGUCUCCGCGCCUCCGAAGAGGACACCCACUUUCAUGGGCUAGCACGGGAUGUCAAGCCUAGGUAAGGUUUUUCGCGUAGCAUCGAAUUAAACCACAUGCUCCACCGCUUGUGCGGGCCCCCGUCAAUUCCUUUGAGUUUUAAUCUUGCGACCGUACUUCCCAGGCGGAAUACUUAAUGCGUUAGCUACGUCACCAAGACAAUUAGGUAUCCUGACAACUAGUAUUCAUCGUUUAGGGCAUGGACUAC